AUGUACUAAUAUAUUCUGCUGAAACCAGACAUUGUUUUGUCACAAAGAACAUUUAUAUGGAUGUGACUUUUACAUGUACCACAUGUACCAGCAGCCUAACACUUUUAAAGGUACAGUGUGUGAAUCUCACCACUAGAUGUCAGUAGAUUUCAGAUUCCGGUCAACUGAAUUCUGUUUUCUUACUCCUGGCAAUAAUAAAGGGCCUAGCUUUGGUGGCCACUAAGCUGUCAGCCUGCUGUUUACCUGGGUGUCCAUGUCUGUUUGCUCUGGAGGAGGCUGUAAAGCUUCUGGAAAGGAAUCUACUGAGGUGAGGAGCUGUGUCGAAAAGUCUAAACUUGUUAUGAUACUCUUGGAUAGUGCGUUUGUCUGCCUUGUGCAUGAGGCACUGCCUCAGGGUUACCUCCUGGGCUAACUGUGAUGAAUCCACCCCUGCUUUCACUCUAAACUCGCCCUCCUUUGUGGCAAAACCCAGCCAUGUAAUGAAACCCUAAUGAACCCGUCACUCCAACUGUCACUUAUUCUCACCUGGGUUCACAACAAUGGACAGAG